AGGAACAAAGAUUGGUCGUCUCUCCCAGUGGACCUGCUUAUCCUGAUCCUGAAGCGUCUGCGGUGGUCGAGCCACCCGAGUUUCGCCUUGGUCUGUCGACAAUGGCGCUCCGCCGUGUCGCCCUUCUACCCGGCGUGGAUCACCCCGCUCCUGCUAAACACCACCGACGUCGGAACCACCAAUGUCCGCUACUACAGUCCCUACUUCCAGAAAAACUUCGAGAUUGGCGACACCCUAGAGGCACCUGGUGCCAAAAUCUGUUGCGCCAACGGAAGGUACCUAACGCUAUGCCUGUCAAAGCAAAUCCUCAACGUUGACCUUCUGACCGACGACUUCUACCGUCUCCCACCGAUUUCUCAGAUUUGUUUCGAACAUAUCGUCUACGAUGGUAUUGGCAAGAUGUUCGGCAUUGACACGCUUGUAGCUCAAGAGAUUGGUUGUUGCGUGCAAAACAACGACGGCGUGUGGGGACGUUGGGCGUACUCCUACCCCGACAGGACAAAGUUCACACCGUCACCAGGGUCCAACCCUGUGUUCCACCGCGGCUUGAUCUAUCUACUGCUAGAAGACGGAAGAUUAGCCGCAUGUGACGAGUCCAAAGACGAAGAAGGAUUUGAAAUUCUUGAGAAGCCACGGAGUUUUGGGUUUGUAUACGAAGACAGCUACUUGGUCGAGUCCGACCAGGGCGAGCUGAUGGUCGUCCUCAUCGGCCGACGCGGGUCGCCUGUUAACAUCUUCAAGCUCAAUGAAGACACAAUGGAAUGGGACAAGAUGGAGAGCCUGGAUGGCAUGGCUUUGUUUACGGGUACACUCACGACUAUCAUAAAGAAGACUCCCAUUAAGUCGAUGCGGAACAAGAUCUUCCUCCCAAGACUCUAUGAUUGGCCUGACGUCGUUUAUGCUGAUUUUGUUAUGUGCGACGGUGAAUUUGCUUUCGUGCCGGGGUUGCCACGUGUUGAUAACAAGGUGAAGGUUGGCAAUGACGACGCAUGUAGCACAAACAUGUGGUCUUGCGAAUUGGGAUAACACGAAAAUCCAAAGGACUUUUGGGAGAUAGGGAGAAUGGAUAAUAGUAUUUGGGUCGAUUUUAGCAAUAGUUGA
rnacentral:rRNA from 1 species